AUAUUCUGGUUUCUUUUCAGAUCGCAUAAAUCUUUUGCCUUUUACUAAAGAUUCCACAGAGAGGAACAACUGUAAGUCUGAAACCAACUUUUUGAGGCCUUGUUGUAACAAGUCU